rnacentral:rRNA from 1 species
CAACUUUCAACAACGGAUCUCUUGGCUCUCGCAUCGAUGAAGAACGCAGCGAAAUGCGAUAAGUAAUGUGAAUUGCAGAUUUUCAGUGAAUCAUCGAAUCUUUGAACGCACCUUGCGCUCCUUGGUAUUCCGAGGAGCAUGCCUGUUUGAGUGUCGUUA